rnacentral:rRNA from 1 species
UACGGAGGGUGCGAGCGUUGUCCGGAAUCAUUGGGCGUAAAGGGCGCGUAGGUGGCCCGGUCAGUCUUUGGUGAAAGCGCGGGGCUCAACCCUGGCGUCGGCCAGGGAUACUGCCGCGGCUGGAGCACUGUAGAGGCAGGCGGAAUUCCGGGUGUAGCGGUGGAAUGCGUAGAGAUCCGGAAGAACACCGGUGGCGAAGGCGGCCUGCUGGGCAGUUUGCUGACACUGAGGCGCGACAGCGUGGGGAGCAA